AUCACUUCUCGGCCUAUGUGGCUAAGAUCAAGUAUAGAACCUGUUCUGAUCAGUUUAAUAUCUGAUCUACCCUUUAUUAAAGGGUUAUUAUUAAAUUGAUUUUUGGGACAGGGAGGGGGUCCAGGAAGCAGGCCUUCCAGGAGCAGUGCCCUUCCCUUGGGAAGAACAUUGGGGUUAAAAAUACACCAAUAGUUUUAGAGUAAAG
rnacentral:snRNA from 1 species